GAUGAAGAACGUAGUGAAAUGCGAUAAGUAGUGUGAAUUGCAGAAUUCAGUGAAUCAUCGAAUCUUUGAACGCACAUUGCGCCCCUUGGUAUUCCAUGGGGCAUGCCUGUUCGAGCGUCAUUUGUACCUUCAAGCUCAGCUUGGUGUUGGGGCCUGCUGCACUGGCAGCCCUUAAAAUCAGUGGCGGCGCCAUCUGGCUCUAAGCGUAGUAAUUCUUCUCGCUAUGGAGUCCUGGUGGAUGCUUGCCAUCAACCCCCAAUUUUUCUAUGGUUGACCUCGGAUCAGGUAGGGAUACCCGCUGAACUUAAGCAUAUCAAUAAGCGGAGGA
rnacentral:misc_RNA from 1 species